rnacentral:lncRNA from 1 species
UCAAAUGAAGGAAGGCGAACUGGAGUAUACAGAAGGAUACUAUCAAUUCUUCAAAAUGGCAUAGUUAUUGGUGAUAAGAAGUUCGAUUUUCUUGCCGUUUCUUCAAGUCAGUUGCGGGAUAAUUCUGCCUGGAUGUUUGCUUCAAGACCUGGGCUUACUGCUGCGGACAUCAGAAGCCGGAUGGGUGACUUUUCUCAGAUAAGAAAUGUAGCAAAAUAUGCUGCCAGACUGGGUCAGUCUUUCAGCUCGUCCAAGGAAACAUUGAAAGUUGCUAAGCAUGAAAUUGAAAUUAUUCCUGACAUUGAAACCCAUAGGGAUGGAACAACAUAUGUCUUCUCUGAUGGAAUUGGGAAAAUAUCCGCUGAAUUGGCUCACAGAGUGGCUAUAAAAUGUGGUUGUAAAAAUUCUACUCCAUCAGCAUUCCAGAUUCGAUAUGGUGGGUACAAGGGUGUUGUUGCUGUUGAUCCAACAUCAUCUAGGAAAUUAUCAUUGAGAAAGAGCAUGUUCAAGUACGAAUCAGAAAACACAAACCUAGAUGUUUUAUCAUGGAGCAAAUAUCGGCCUUGUUUUCUCAAUCGUCAAUUGAUCACCCUUCUAUCUACUCUCGGAGUUAAGGAUCAUGUUUUUGAAAAGAAGCAAAGAGAAGCCGUUGAUCAACUGGACACCAUCUUAAAAGAUCCACUAAGGGCACAGGAGGCACUGGAGUUGAUGUCUCCAGGAGAGAACACUAAUAUUCUCAAAGAAAUGCUCAUGUGUGGUUAUAAGCCAGAUGCUGAACCAUUUCUUUCAAUGAUGCUGCAAACUUUCCGGGCAGCAAAGUUGCUGGAACUGCGCACUAAAACAAGAAUAUUUGUUCCAAAUGGAAGGUCUAUGAUGGGAUGUCUAGAUGAAACUAGAACCUUGGAAUAUGGUGAAGUGUUUGUACAGAUUUCUGGCACUGGAGGAAGGCAAUCCUUUGGUGAUUCCCUCAUGUUCUAUGGAAGUGGAUCACACCAUGACAAUUUUAUUCUUGAGGGAAAGGUAGUUGUUGCUAAAAAUCCUUGUCUACACCCUGGUGAUGUUCGAAUCCUGUCGGCUGUUGAUGUGCCUGCUUUGCAUCAUAUGGUGGAUUGCGUCGUUUUUCCACAAAAAGGAAUGAGGUAAAGAUGCUAUAAUAUCUCCAAAUUGAUAUUUUGAGGCAAUAAAUCCUAGAUUUAUUUGGUUAUAAGCUGUUUGUUUUAGUGUCCACCUUUUAGUUGCAAACAAUCAAUCUGAGAUUAUGUGACUUAAAACAUGUCUGUCAUAUAUACACCAUAUACUAUGCUCAAAUAUGCAUGCACACAAAUAUGUACACACAUUCUUCUUCAGUUUCAAACUUUUGAAAAUGUUGGAGCACUCCAUGUGUACAUAUAUACAUGCAUAAAUGAAUACACAAGUGUCCGGCAUGCUCAGGCACAUACUGGCUUUUAGUUUAUUUGUGGACACAUACUGGCUUUAUAUGUACAUGUUAGUUUAUUUCUGACUAGUAAAAUUAAUUAUGUUUCUUUUGAUUUUUUUAUUAUUAAAAGUUCUAGUUAUGCUUGUAGAAUUACCGUGUAAAGUUUUUUUUUCCUCUUUUUUUUGCAAAUAAAGUGCUUCUUUGUCUCAGUCAAUCUUCUACCAUUGAUUAUAGCUAUUUGUACUUUUCUUUAUGCCAAGCUGUUUACUGACAAUUGCUGAAUUAUGAUAUUAGACCCCACCCGGAUGAAUGUUCGGGGAGUGAUUUGGAUGGAGAUAUCUACUUUGUUUGUUGGGAUCAUGAUCUAAUUCCACCUCGACAAAUCAAUCCCAUGGAUUAUACCCCAGCGCCAACUAAGGUCUUGGAUCAUGAUGUCAUGAUUGAGGUACUUACUCUUUCAGUUGUGUUCAAGCAAUUUGGAAUAGAUUUCCUUUUUAUUUAUUGACCGCCCCUGUGCAUGUUUCUCUCUGUCCUGGCCAUAGUUUGUUAAUUGAUUUUCCUUUCUGUAACAACAUUGUGAAGUCACCAAUGUUUACAUUGUUAAAUUUUUUUCUUUCGUUCUCUUUUGUUCAUUGGCCAUAUAGAAAUGCAAUUUGGCAGGAUUAUGGUCUCAUAUUUAAACAUCCAUUAUAUAUCAGGACUUUGUGAAGCUUGAUGCUCACUCAAAGCUCCUUUGUCAUUUCCAUCCUUUUUCUUUUCUUUUUUUUUUCCUGGUUUUUGCUUAAAAUAAUGUAGUUGUAUUUAUGGAGCAGGAAGUUGAGGAGUAUUUCACCAACUACAUAGGGAAUGACAAGUUAGGAAUCAUUGCAAAUGCCCACACCGUCUUCGCAGAUAAGGAGUACGACAAAGCAUUGUGUCCUCCUUGCAAAGAGCUUGCAAAGUUGUUUUCAAUUGCUCUAGAGUUCCCCAAAACUGGUGUGCCUGCUGAAAUACCAUUUCAUCUACAUGUGAAGGAAUAUCCAGAUUUCAUGGAAAAGGCCAACAAACCAACCUAUGAAUCACAAUCUGUGAUUGGAAAGCUUUUUCGAGAAGUGAAAGACGUUGCACCACACAACUAUGAUGUAAGAUCCUUCACCAGGGAUGUGGCAAUGCAGUCUUAUGACGCUGACAUGGAAGUGGAUGGUUUUGAAGACUAUGUCAGAGAUGCUUUCUACUACAAAAGUCAAUAUGAUUUUAAGUUGGGGAGCCUGAUGGAUUGCUGUGGCAUUAGAACAGAGAGUGAAAUACUCAGUGGGAGUAUCAUGAAAAUGUCAAAAUCUUUUGAUAAGAGGAAGGAUGCAGAAGCCAUUGCUUUGGCUGUAAGAUCCUUGAGAAAGGAAGCUAGGACAUGGUUCAACAAGAUGGGAAGUGGGACAUAUGCUGGAGCUGAUGAUGUAUACGCAAUAGCAUCUGCAUGGUACCAUGUUACUUAUCAUCCUUAUUAUUGGGGUUGCUACAAUGAGGGAAUGUAUCAUGACCAUUUCCUCAGUUUUCCAUGGUGUGUUUAUGACAAACUGAUUCAGAUCAAGAGGGAUAAAAUGAGUAUUAGGUCUCUACAUCUGUCAUUGCUGGGAUGAAGACUCAGUCAUGGGUUGCGUUUGGGUUGAGGAAUUUGCCAUCUUAUGUGUUCCUUAUAUCUUCUCCCUCCAUCAUGUACCCUCCCCCUUCCAACUCUGGAGCAUGAUAUUUAGUUCUUUCUUUCUAGUGAAGUAUCUCUAUAAGUUCAUAGGAACGUCCAGACAUGACUCUUAGUACUUUACUGUUUAGUGUUUGUGUAUGCACUGAAUAUAAAUGCUUUAUUCUGAUAUUUGGGACUAGAAUAUUGAUUCCUGCUGCUAAAUUUAUCUUAAGAUUUUCCUUUUUGGUUGCCUUUUCUCUGUGGCUCUAGCAGUCUGUCAUUGUGUCUGGAGACCUACACAUUGCAUACAUGAAUGAAAUUAGUUCUCUGAUUUACCCUGAAACUUCCCUGAGCUUGGGGACAAAUGCGGACUUGCAAUAAAGGUCUAAACGUCGAACAUCAUUUUCUAAGAAGGUUUUCACACGGUGACAUCUCAUACCAAUCCUGGGGUCCUAUCAUCAGAGAAUCCAAAAUAAAAGGUAAAUUUCCCUCUUGUAUGCAUAAUCCUAAGAAAGAUUUUCAUGGUUAUACAUUUUUAUUGUUAAUCACUGGAAUUGUGAGAGUAGGAUCACCUUCAAACCGCAUCAUUUGUGCCUCGGAACAACAAGAAGUUGAGUUAGUUCCUUAGUGCUCAAUUCUAGCCCGGCAAAGCUUCUGCAGUUUUGUUAAGAAACUUUUCGACAAUAAAUUGAUAAUAUCACUUCCAAAGUUACAAUCAUAUCAUCCCCUUGGGUGAAUCAGAACAGAGUUAGUUGACUUGUUCUGGAGGAGUCCGCUUGAGCUUCACUUACUAAUCCUUGUACAAAAAUUAAGCAUUUUGAGAAUCUGUAGUUUUCUUAGAAAAUUGGAUAAAGUGAGAAAAUUCCAGAAUUAUAAGAUAAAGUGCAAAUCCAAACAAUAGAGUGCACUUCAUUUCGUCUUUCGUAGAGUUUUUGAAGGUCGAAAUCCAUUCGAUAUCUUAAUUGUGUUGUCCAAUGGUCCAGUUUAUCUGCAAAAUUCCUCCCAUCACAGUCUCCUCCGAAUGAAACAAAAUGAGCAGUUGCAACCUCUACUAAAAAAAAUCUCAUGGGUCUCAAGCUCUCUGGUAAAAUUUCUUCUUGCAAUUGUAGGCAACCAGAAGGCUUUGACAUUUUUGCUCCUUUUUGGUUGCUUUUAUAUUCAUGCUCUUCUCUAAUAGUUGGUAUGAGGCUAUAUCCUGGAAGUUGUGUUCUUGGAUUUCAUGACUAUGUAAAAGCCAUUUCCAAAAUCCCGAGGACAACUUAUCAUCUGUUUCUACAACAACCAGUUUUCUUCUGAUUAUGCACAACCAAAUCUGGUCACUUUCACCACAAUAUACAUUGAUGUCCCGAAACUAGUCUCAGAGAAGGGACCAAGAAACUAGUAGGAAGAGUAGUUUAUGAUCAUCUUUAAAUAGCAUCAUUUACGCCUUAGAACAAAAAACAAUUGAGUUCCUUCUUUGUGGCUGGAUUCCAGCUUGUGGGAGAAGUCCACAGUUUUCUUGUAAAGCCUAUCAAACACCUCAUCAAUAAUCCCACUUCCCAGUCUGAAAAACAACAUAAAACUACCACAACGACAAAAAUUCAACAAUUAUGGAGGACAUUGUUAGGAAUUCUGCAUAAUAUAAACAAGAUUUUAGCAUAACCGUCUGUGUACUUCCAUUAGUGGAAUAAAAAAAAAAGGAGAUUGUUAGCCUGAGGCUCUCUUAAUUGUGUUUUGAUAAUAACAAAUUAUGGUUAGUGUUGAGGCUUCGCGUCCCUGGUGAUCCAUGUGGUUGCCAAAUGGAUGGACGCACGAUCUCAACCAAUAUAAGUUCCUGGUUCAGUCGUUCCUGUAAAAGGCGUCCGGACAGGGUGUCUGGACGCACCCUCCGAUGGUUUUGUCAGCCAUGGUCCAGAGAGAUAAAUCAGUUGGCCUUUUACUAGGUAUAGCAAAACUUACCUUCCUCUUUGUGCGAAGGUCCAUAUAUAUCGUAUCAGAAGCUCUGUCUCCCUCUUUAAUGAUAGGGAGAUAUUUUGGCUUGUCAUGAUGCCUCUAGGUGGUGACAGGGCCAUCAUCACUCGUAGGGCGGCUGACAGAGAUCGUGGGAGGCGCCGCAGCUGUCAAAGAUCGUAGGAAGUGACUUGCCAUCAUUCCUGUCCUUUCACUCUACAGGUGGCGGAACGUAGGUCGUGAUAGGCUGUCGGAAUGACGUAGUAAGACUUGCUUACUUUAGUCAACGAUCCGGAUAGGAUAUGUUGGUCGUCCGGAUGUGAUGUUUGUGAGUGUCGUGUGCUUCUCCCUGAGGAAGUCCGGAUAGGAGAAGCGCGUCACGUGUCUCUAUUGGGGGAAAUCCGGAUGAAGCUGAUCCGGAUAGAAAUGCGUGCCACGUGUCAUCAGGGGGAGGGGUUCCUACAGUGCCCCCUUUUUAACUUGCCCAUUUUGCCCUGGCAAAAUGGGCGGGUUAAAAAAUGAUUGUUUUUCUGAAACUGAAGUUGACUUUUUGCUUCAUUGGGCCACGUGGCGAGCGGGGGCGAAGAGGUAGAAAAGCAUUUAUGAUGAGCCGCCGACUCUGGGUAUUCCCAGGCAGCGUGUCGUUUCAAUGAUGGCGCAGCUGAACGGUUAGAAUACCGAGAGGCUUGUCCUGCUAUAAAUAGCAGACUGUUCAUUCCUUUUGCAUUUUUUUCUUCUGCGUUUUUUCCUGUUAGUGCUUUAUCUUCAGCCUUUUGCGUACCUUCGUCUAUGUGUGAGGUUCUAGGGUUUUCUGCCGGCAAUAUUCGUGUUGUGACGGUGACUGCGCUGUGGUUCUCAUCCCCAUUUUCCCAGUUUACAUUCGGUACGUUUUCUAUUUCUGUCUUCUCCUCGUUGGCAUUUGGUUUUGUUGGUUGUUUCUGGCUUUGCUGGGCAAGUUGUUUGCGACUGGGUAUCGAUAUUGGUUUCUAGGGUUUUUGGGGUGUGUUUAGGGUUCCUGUUGCCACCUUGUACUUUUUGUGGGUUGUCGAUCUUUCUUUGUGGUAGAGUUAAGCUUGUGGGGUUGGUUUGCUGUGUUUUGACUGUUGGUACUUCUUUCAUGCAGAUUCCACUCUAGUCCCAGCCUAAAAAAUGUCUGCGAACAAGGAAGCUGCCUCAUCCAGUUCGUCCGGCGAUGCUCAAGCUGAGAAAGCCAUGGAUAAGUUGAAUGUGAGGGAGUUCCGCGAACGCUUCUGCAUCCCAAAUGGCGUGCUCGUGGAACUUAUAGACGGAGAGGUCAUGACGACUGAGAAAUCUGAGGACAAUGCCAUCUUUUUUAUAAAGAAGCAAUUCAACGCUGGGCUCCAGUUCCGCCUCCCGUCGCUGUUCAAGGAAUUCCUUCACUUCACUCAGAUUCCUCCAGCUUACAUCCACCCCAAUAUGGUCCGGGUGCUGAUGGGAUGCAGCAUUCCAAGCAUGCUGUUCAACCUAGACCUCUCGUUGCUGGAGGUUCUUUUCGUCUACUCCCUGAAGAAGGGUAAAAAUGACAUUUUUAGCAUGGUUGCCCACCUGCCCUCUCUUCAACUGGUGACUGAGCUGCCGGAUUCGACGAAGGGAGGAGCCAAGGAACAUGUGUUGGUCCGGGGUGCCUGGGCGGGGCUACUGGAGCACCCGGAGAUGCCAUUUUCCCCAAACCGUUCGUUAGUGCUUCCGGGUAAGUCAGCUUGCGGGGUUUGUCCGACAUUUGUCUUGUUGUUCUUCUUGCUGGGGUUAUCAGAUGGCUUAAUAUCUUUGGUUGCUGAUAAUGCAGGUCUGGACAAGAGGGGUUGCGUAGUCGAGUGGGUAGAAAAAGCGUCGUUCGCUCGACUGAACAAGUUAUUUGAGAUUACUGCCGCUGAGAGGCAUCAUGAGACGCUGCUCACUACGCGAAACUUGCUGGCCGUUGUCCGAGAGCCCCAAGCGUACAUCAUCAAUAUUCUCCCCAGGAAGCUGCCAAAGAAGGUAGUGCCUGGGGAGCAUUACGUUCUGAAAGACCUCCCUUUCUACAAGGAGGUGCAAAAGGUAAACGCUCAGAAACGCCAAGCACUCCUUGACGAUCGGGAGGGGAGGAGGAAAGAGGGAACUUUGCGGAAGGCUCCCGGUAAAAAACGCUCCGCACCCUCUCUUCCUGCUGGCGCCCCAGCGAAAAAGAAGAACAAGAAGAAGUUGGUUCUUAAUAAGGGGAAAGAAAUAAAACUUCCAACUCCCCCAAAGGAAGUGGUAAUGCCGCAUCCAACUUUUGUGAAGGAAAUAACAAUAAGAGAACCAGAGGUCCCCUCCUUGCCCUCUGUAUCAAGCGGCUCCGGACGCCUCGCGGGUCUGAAUCAUUCGGGGCCUUCAGUGCCAGUGGCUGGACGGCUGGCUCUUCUGGCUAAGGAAACGACUUCAGUAAAUCAGCCCGGCUCUCCUCAUCCGGACGUGGAUGCAGCCGGGGCCUUUUGCGUUGAAGCAUUGCCUCAUUCGGCACCCCCAAUGGAAGAAACAGGGGCAGAAAGUCAGGGUUUGCCUCCUUACGAGCUAAGCCCCCUUGCCUUUGCAUCGGCGAAGGGGCCAGCUACAAGGAGGUCUCGUCCGGCACGCGACUUGAAGUUUGGCCUCAUCGGGCGGCUUCAGGAUCGAUUCUUGGAAACCAUCGAAGUCAACUGCUCGUCCGUCCAGGAUGAUCAUCCGGAGGGGAGGGAGACGGAGAUGGCAGCAGAGAACCCAACCGCCCCGGUGGUGGUCUCGGAUGGGGGUUCACCCGGAAAGACCCAUCCGGCCGAGAAUAAUGGGGCCCCGGACCCGGGGGAGGAGUCACUCCCUAAUGCCUCGUCAGGGGGGAGUCUCGUUGAUGAUGCAGCUUGCAUCUCCGCUAGUCCUUUCAACUAUGCGGAGUUGGGAAAGAUACUGAAACGGAUUCCAUCCGGCUCAAACGUUGCUGUGCCCUCAGCAAAAAUGUUCGAAGCGGCGGAAACGGUAUAGUUUACUUCUUGAUUUUUCUUCCCAUAUUGAUGUGUUUGUCACAUGGGUUGUAAUUUUGACACUUCUUGUUUGUGGGUUUUUCUGCAGCUGGUGAGUGGUAUUCGCGACAUGGCUCAACAACGUGAUCUUUUUUCUGACCUGCUGCGGACCGCUGACUAUAUGAAGGCCUUCGUCUCUCAGCGCAUAAACAGUGAAGAGGAACUGCGCUUGAGAUUGGAGCAGGCUGAGGCUAGUUUAUCCGCUGCUCGAGAUGACAACGAGGCCCUCCGGGUGGAGUUGGCUGAGGCAAAGAGCCGGGAGGAAUCUACGGACGCCCGCCUGCUUGAGGUGGAGGACGAGAUGGCCCUUCUGAGGGGGGAGGUGAGGCAACUCCGGACGGAGGUAUCUAUUGAGAAAAAGCAGAGAGAGGAUUGCAGCUGCGUUUAUCAGCGCAAAAAGAGGAGCUGGAGGCUGAGUUUGCUGCGGAAAGGGAGGAACUUAAAGCGGACUACCAGAAGCAGGUAGACGAAAUGUACUUCUUCGGCUACCGUUGCUGUAUGAAGAAACACGGUAUUAAGCGGGACGUUCCUUCAAUUCCCCCGGGUGAGGAGGAGAAGCUACGCGGCAAGCCCUCCCAAUGAGAGCUUUUCUUUUUGUAAUUUUUUACUGCUAUCUUCUCUCUGUAUCUUGUAGUCCGGAGAACUCUUUGUAUACAACUUCACAAAUAUUAAUAAAACAUACUUAUUCAUAUUUGUGCUUGUCUUUUUCUUUCACUGGUAAUACUGUUUUAAAUUAGACACAUUCCAUGGUCUGAGUAAUGGAGUUCCGUCUAGCUUUUGUAGAUGAUAAGCUCCACUUUCACUUGACUUAGAUACUAUAUAGGGUCCUUCCCAGUUGGCUUGAAAUUUUUCCGCUCCUAUUUCAGCAGUAUUUUCGAAAACUUUUCUAAGGACCAGCUUACCAUUUUUGAAGCUUCUGGGCCUUACUUUGCGAUUGUAGUGAGCGGAUGCCCUUUGUUGAUAGUCUGCCAUCUGGAUGGAUGCAGUUUCUCUUACUUCGUCUGCCCAGUCCAAAUUUCUUCCUAACUCCUCAUUUGCAUCAUCCUGCGUUCCUGCCUCGGUCCGGAUAGUGGGUAAGCCUAUUUCAGUAGGAAUGAUUGCAUCCAUACCGUAUGCGAGGGCGAAGGGAGUGUUUCCUGUUGGACGUCCGGGUGUGGUUCGAUAAGCCCAUAGGAGGCCGGGUAGCUCCUCCACCUACUUUCCUUUUGCUUGCUCGAGCCUUUUCUUUAAGGCAGUGAUUAACGUCUUGUUUGUGGCCUCUGCUUGCCCAUUACUUUGAGGAUAACGCGGUGUGGAGUAUGAAUUCCGGAUGUUCAGUUCCGAACAGAAAUUCCGGAAAGCGAUGCUAUCAAACUGUGGACCAUUGUCGGCUAUAAUGGUUUGGGGGAUUCCAAAGCGGCAGAUGAUGUUUUUCCAUACGAAGUUGGUGACAUCUUUGUUUUUGAUGCUAGCGUAUGCUUCAGCUUCCACCCAUUUACUGAAGUAAUCCGUGGCGACGAGUAGGAAUUUCUUUUGGGUGGGUACGGCUGGUAGGGGUCCUACUAUGCCCAUACCCCACUGCGCGAAGGGCCAGGGGCCUGAAAUUGGUUUCAGCGUCUCCGACGACAUAUGUGGUAUGGGGGCAUGUCUUUGACAUUUGUCACAUUUUUUGAUGUAGGCUGCCACAUCCUGCUUCAUCGUGGGCCAAUAAUAUCCUUGCGAAUGGGCCCUGUGCACUAGAGAUCGUCCUCCAGAAUGAUUUCCACACACUCCCUCGUGCAAUUCAGCUAAUACAUACAGGGCCUCAGAAUGGUUUAGGCACCGGAGAUAGGGACCUGUGAAGGAUCGCUUGUACAAGUGCCCCCCAAUCAAGGUGAAACGGGCGGCUUGCACCCGGAUCUUGUGUGCCUUCUUGGGAUCCUCGGGCAGAGUACCUGUCCGGAGGUACCCUAUAAUGCCAUUCGUCCACUCUUGGACGUUUGCUUGGCUUGCCUCAAUGGUAUUGCAAAUGGGAGCUUCCGCAAUGGAAGGGUUGGCUUGCACGUGUAUAGGCAAUAAUAUGGCUUCUUUGAUGGGAAGGGAAGCAGCCACGCCUGCUAAUGCGUCGGCGCGUCCAUUUUCGGCCUGUUUAAUCUUUUCGACCGUCCAUUCGGAGAACUGUUGUAAGGUGUUUCUUACCUUAGCCAGGUAUCGCGCCAUGCGUUCAUCCUUAGUUUCGUAUUCCUUCUGGACGUGCCUAACCACAAGUUGAGAAUUGCUAUAGACCCGGAUCUUGGAGACGGAUAGAGCCAGGGCGAGGUCCAAUCUGGAUAGGAUGGCUUCAUAUUCUGCUUCAUUGUUAGAGGCGGGGAACCCCAACCGGAUGGCUUGCUCCAGAUGUUCUCCUGUUGGUGAUUACAGCAGGAGCCGUACUCCGGAUUCUGAUGAUCGUGAGGCUCCAUCGACCCGCAAAGUCCACCACUCUUUUUCACCUGGUUCCUUACGCUGGAUAGGCCUUCGGGAGUAUUCCAGCACGAAGUCAGUCACAACUUGGCCUUUCAUGGAGAGCCUAGGUUGGAACUCAAUUCCAUAUUCGCUUAACUCUAUGGCCCAUUGAAGCAUUCUUCCGGUUAGGUCCGGCUUGUGCAGAAUGUUGCGAAGGGGCUGGUCAGUUAUCACAACCACCGGGUGGGCUUGGAAGUAGGGGCUGAGCUUCUGGGCGGCACUUCGAAGAGCUAAGGCUAUUAGCUCCAUCUUUGAAUACCUGGUUUCUACGUCCGCCAAUGCUCUGCUGACGUAGUAGAUAGGUUUCUGCUCCUUAGGUGAGGGGCAACGGAAUAGAACAGUGCUAAUCGCCCACUCCGAUACAGCCAGAUACAUAUACAGUUUUUCUUCAGGGAGGGGACUGUUGAGGAUGGGCCGCAUGAGGCAAUAUUUAAUUUUUUCAAAAGCGCUUUGACAGCUGUCCGUCCAUCCGUUUGCCCCAGCUUUUCGUAUUGCCAAGAAGAAGGGUCGUAGUUCAUCAGUGAAGCGGGCUAUAAAACGUCCUAGUGCGACGAGUUUGCCUGUGAGGCGCUGUAAUUCCUUUAUGCUCCUGGGGGGUGGUGUUUCCAUGACUGCCUUGACUUGAUCCGGGCUAACCUCUAUCCCUCUUUGGCUGACCAUAAAACCCAGGAAUUUGCCAGCACUUACGCCAAAGGCGCAUUUGGAAGGAUUCAGCUUCAUGUCAUACUUCCUUAAGAGUUGGAAGACUUCUUGCAAAUGGAGUACAUGCUCCUCUCGAGUUUUGCUUUUAACCACAAUAUCGUCAAUAUAUACCUCUACUGUGCGGCCGAUCAGAGGUUUGAAGAUCUUCGUCAUCAGUCUCUGAUACGUGGCGCCAGCGUUUUUGAGUCCGAAUGGCAUGACUUUGUAGCAAUAAAGACCGUGUGGCGUUAUGAAGGCUGUUUUUUCUUCGUCAGUCGGGGACAUGGGGAUUUGGUGGUAUCCGAAGAAGGCGUCCAAGAAUGAGAGCAUCCCUUGCCCAGUAGUGGAAUCCACAAUUUGAUCUAUCCGCGGCAAAGGAAAACUGUCUUUUGGACAUGCAUUAUUGAGGUUGGUGUAAUCGACGCAUACUCGCCAUUUGCCUUCUUUUUUUGGUACCACCACUACAUUUGCCAACCAGUCCGGGUAAUCUACUUCUCUGAUGAAUCCAGCUUCUAGUAAUUUGUCAAUUUCGUUCCAGAUAAUUUUUUGCCUAUCCGGGUGAAAACGCCUAACCUUCUGCUGGAUGGGUCUGGCUGCUGGCAAGACGUUAAGCCUAUGAGAAGUAAUGGAGGGAUGAAUUCCCUUCAUAUCAGAAUGUGCCCAUGCAAAGAUGUCAUGGUUUUGCCUGAGGGCGUUCUGCAUGUUCCGGAUCUCUUCUGGUGUCAGAAGGGAACUGAUAUUCGUAAGGUGAGUACCUUCUUCCGAAAUUUGAAUCGUCUGCAAGGGAUCCGUUACCGGGGGAUCUUUGUCCGCAGGACUCAGUGAUUGCUAUUGGUCCCGCGCGUUGGAGGAUUCAGGGAGGGGUUCGUCCUCCUGACUGGUUCCUGCCUCUCGUGCUAUCUGGUAGCAUUGGUGAGCGGCUAACUGGCUGCCAUAUAGGUCUAUUUGCCCAUUUUUGGUAAGGAAGCUUACCAUUUGAUGAUAUGUAGAGAGGAUGACUUUCAUGUAGUGCAGCCAUGCGCGCCCCAAGAUGACAUUGAAGGGUGAUAAAUCUUGUACCACCGAAAAUUGUACGUUGAGAGUGACUGGGCCAGCUUGGACCGGCAGUACAAUAUCUCCCAAGGAAGUAGUUGAUGACUCGUUGAAUCCGGACAAGAUUCGCCCAGGAUUUUCUAGGCCUGUGAGACUGUGCCCCAUGUGGUUAACGACCGAUGCUUGUACAAGAUCGGCCGAGCUGCCGGAACCAGGAUGCGUCUCACAUCGAAGUCUCCUAUCUCUAGGGACAGGAUGAGGGCGUCGCGGUGCGGCUGCAAUAUCCGGGUGGGGUCUGCUGGUGGGAAAAUGAUUGUCCCAUCUAUGGGGUAAGGGCCCUCCCCCCCCCGGUUAUCCCAGGCCGGAUGGAGUUGACACGCUCACGCACCGAUGCUGCCCGCAACAACUUUUGUCUCUUUCGUUUGGAGUUGUACUCCUCGUCAGAUGGGCCUCCGUUAAUAUAGUUUAUAACGACUUUGGGGACGGCUGGGGCCCUGGGGGCUCUAGAGUUGUGAUUUCAAGAAGCGUCUCUGCCUCCGGCAUCUGAGCGGAGGUAUUGCUUUAAAUGUCCCGCCUUUAUGAGCCUUUCGACCAAAUACUGGAGGCACCUGCAUGUCUCCGUUGUGUGACCAUGCUCUUUAUGGAAGGCACAUCUUUUACUAUGAUCUCUUUUGGAUGGGUCUGUUCCGAGGGGUCUAGGCCACCUGAAGUCGGACAUGUCUUGGAUCAUAAGGAGAAGCUUCUCGUAGGAUAUGGAAAGGGGUAUGAGGGGCGGCCUUUCCGGGCGACUUGGCCCUUCCUGCCUUCGAUCGAACGGCCUUGGCCGAUCCGGAAGUUUGGCACUACUUCCUACGCCACUUCUGGAUGUCUGCCCAGCAACCAAGACUUGCUGGGUGGCUGCUCGCACGUCAUCCUCGAGCAUUGAGUAUUUGUUCGCACGCCGGAACAAAUCGUCCAUCGUCGCAGGAGGCUUUUUAGAGAGUGAUUCAAAAAAUGGGGUGCCUAGACAGAUGCUCCGUUUGAAGAUCUGCAGGACAGCAUCCAUGCUGUAAGCCUCUACCUGUAGUAUGGCUUGACCAAAUCGCUUCACGAACUCCCUUAAGGAUUCGUUAUCCUGCAUUUUUAUGUUUUGUAGAGUGCUGAUGUUUUGCUUAUGCUGAGCGGAGCAUAAGUAUUGUCCCACGAAGGCCUCUGAUAGGUCUCUGAAAUUACCAACAGAGUUGGAAGGUAGGCGAUGAAACCAUGAGAAGGCCUGCCCUUGUAGGCUGGUGGGAAAUACUUUGCAUAGCAGCGCGUCGUUGCCUAUAUCGAGAGUCAUGAGCUGUCGAUAAUGCAUGAUAUGGUCGAAGGGGUCGCUGGACCCAUCGUAUGUGGAGAAUUUAGGUACGAGGAAUCCCCUUGGGGGCUCGUAAUGAAUGAUAUGAGAGCAGAAAGGUGUGGAGAGCAUGUCGUCCAACCUUUUGCUGAUGGAGCCAAUGGGUGGCUCAUUUGGGAGGUUUCUCCCAGAUUGUUGUACCGCUAGGUGCGGUUGAACGUUCUGCACCAUAGGGGCGACCAUGGGGUCACGAUGUGGGAGAACGUUUUGCACCAUAGGGGUGACCAUAGGGUCAGGAUGCGCUUCCCAGGUUGUGGCUGCUGGUGGCCUUGGCCUCCUAGGCUCCUGUGGGCCUAGUCUUGUGCGCAUUGAGUUUGACAACUGGGGCCUUUUGUCGCGUUGUCUUUUUGUUGAAAAAUGAGUAGAGUCUGAACUUUCCUCAUGGAGAGCUCGGUUCAUGGGAGUGGGUGGCUCAUGUGGCCUAACGUUGUAUGUUUCUGGGAUGGCUCCUGCUGUCCCAAGGUAUAUUGACUCUGGCUCUGGCUUUGAGUUUGCUACCUGGCCUCUUGAACGCUGACGACGGGGAGGCCCCGUCGACGAAGCCUGGAUGCGUAGUACCGCGUUUUCUUCUCUUAACCUUUCGGUCUCCUGGAGGAGAGCUUGUAGUUAUCGUUCGCUUGCCAACUGUCUUCUUUCGAUGGCUUGGCGCCAUUCAGAAUUAUUUUCCUCUCCUCUACUAGAUGAACGGCUUCGGGAAGGUGUGACCAUCUUUGCCGGUGACUGAAUCAACGAAUUUCCCACAGACGGCGCCAAUGUUGAGGCCUCACGUCCCUGGUGAUCCACGUGGUUGCCAAAUGGAUGGACGCACGAUCUCAACCAAUAUAAGUUCCUGGUUCAGUCGUUCCUGCAAACGGCGUCCGGACAGGGUGUCCGGACGCACCCUCCGAUGGUUUUGUCAGCCAUGGUUCAGAGAGAUAAAUCAGUUGGCCUUUUACUAGGUAUAGCAAAACUUACCUUCCUCUUUGUACGAAGGUCUAUAUAUAUCGUAUCAGAAGCUCUGUCUCCCUCUUUAAUGAUAGGGAGAUAUUUUGGCUUGUCAUGAUGCCUCUAGGUGGUGACAGGGCCAUCAUCACUCGUAGGGCGGCUGACAGAGAUCGUGGGAGGCGCCGCAGCUGUCAGAGAUCGUAGGAAGUGACUUGCCAUCAUUCCUGUCCUUUCACUCUGCAGGUGGCGGAACGUGGGUCGUGACAGGCUGUCGGAAUGACGUAGUAAGACUUGCUUACUUUAGUCAACGAUCCGGACAAACAUAUCCGGAUAGGAUAUGUCGGUCGUCCGGAUGUGACAUGACGAUCGUCCGGAUGUGAUGUUUGUGAGUGUCGUGUGCUUCUUCCUGAGGAAGUCCGGAUAGGAGAAGCGCGCCACGUGUCUCUAUUGGGGGAAAUCCGGAUGAAGCUGAUCCGGAUAGAAAUGCGUGCCACGUGUCAUCAGGGGGAGGGGUCCCUACGGUUAGUAUACUAAUAAUUUUAAAAUUAGGUUAAGCUUUAAGUAUUAAUUGAAAAAUUCAAGUGAGUAAUCAAGUCAAUCAUCAAAGAUCCAAGAAAUGCAAGAUCAAGAGAGCAUGAAGACCAUUCAAGCAUAGCAAAUCAAUGUAAGGUGAUCACUUGGGUGCACUUAGGAAUUUUAACUCAUUCAUGUAUCAUUUUCAUACUUGUUUUAAGCUUUAAAAGAUUAUAUUUUUAUAUGCUCGAGUGUUAAUCCAAAACCUUAGGCAAAAAUCUUUGAAAUUUGUUUUAUAAAAGUGCCUAAAGAUAUUGCCUAAGUGUCAGAAAGAAUUAAAAUGGAAAAAGAUAGGUUUUUGAGCUAAAUUUAUCUAAUUGAUUGAGGGUGGAGUUGAACCCAUUGACUUAUUACCCUUUCUCGUUCGAGAACUAGUUGAUGAUGGGUGCAAAAAUUUUCUCUCUUUCAGAAGGGUUGCUCUCUUGGUAGAAGGGAAUCCUUUCCUAGUCAAGGGGUACCUUUUCUUGGUUGAGGUCCGAUCGAACCCUUAAUAGUCACCUGCCAAACAUUAAAUGUCCAACGACUAGUUAAUCGGUCGGUCGGAACUCAAUUGAGAAAGACCUAUUGGUGUAUUUUUUGGUGUUCAAGGUUAGAAACUUAUAAAUAAAGGGCUCCCAUUCAAUUAUUGAUAAGAGAACACUUGCAUUAAACUUUUUAUCUACUUGUUUUCCACAUUCAAAGCCCACAUUAUUUCUUUGGUGCAUUAAAUCUUCAUUUGCAAAUCAUUUUUAGUGCACCUUGUUUUCAUCCUAGUUCCCUUGUACUUGCAAAUUAAUUGUGCUAGGAUUAAGUGACUCCAAAAUCUCUUGAUUAAAGUAAGGUUACAUGUUUAAGCUUCAAGUUGAAAAUAAACUUGAAGGGUUGCUUGUAGUGUCCAUUGGAGCCGUGAAUCCAAUUGUAAGAGCUUAAAAGCUUGCUCGAAACUUUAUACUAGUGGAACCCUUAUUCGGAAGGAGCUUGAGGGGGAUAGAUGUAGGUGGAAAUUACCGAACCACAAUAAAACAAGUUUGCAAUCUCUUUCACUCUUAUCUCUUUACUUUUAUUGUUCACCCCCCUCCCCACUUCCCCACUUCCCCUUCCUCUUUGAUGUUUUUCUCAAACUAUUAGCCUUUAAUUCACAAUAUUUAUUAUAAAAAAUGGGUAAUAGAUGUGGAAUUGUAAUUUUAAAAAGCAAAUGAGGUAAAAGAAAUUUAAGAUUAAGAAUAAGUUAAUUAUUUUAACUUUAUAGUUAAAGUUAAAAAUAUCUUUAAAUUAUAAUAUUAAAUUAUUUUAUCAAAUAUAUUUAAUUUAUUUAAUCACUUAAAUUAAGUUAUCAAGUCAUAUUAAGUGAUUAAGUUGACUUAUCAAACACCCUCUAACUACUUUUGGUAGAACUUAAAACUUAUUAUUUAACGACUUAAAUUGACUUCAAGUUAAAUUAUUUCUAAGUUAUUAACUAAAAACUUAUUAUUUAUUUAUUUUUAAAGUAUUAAUGUUCUUUUGUAAAAUUAAUUUAAAAUUUAUUAUAAAUCAACAAAUUGACACAUUACCUUUGUUAAUUUUAACUAAUAUUUAUCAUCAUUCAUUUUAACUCAUAUCUAUUUUCAUUAAUUUUAAAUAAUAAAUUUAGUUAUAAAAUAUCCAUAUUUCGAGUAUUGUAAAUACAUAAAAUAACAAUAAAAUAUUUGCCAUAAAAAAUAAAUUAUAGAUGUAAAAUCAUAAUUCUAAAAUAUAUUCACAUUAAUGUGGACAAAUAAGGUAAAAAAGAUUUGAGAUUAAGAAUAAAAUUAGCUAUUUUGACUUUAAUACUUAAAGUUAAAAAUAAUUUUAAGUUUUAACAUUAAGUUAUGUUAUUAAAUAUGUUAAAUCUAUUUAAUGACUUUAAUUAAGUUAUUAAGUUAUAUUAAAUCAUUAAGUUGAUUUAUUAAAAACCUUCUCUAAAUUUGUAACAUAUAUGUUUUAUUAAAUCAUUGUGCAAUAGUGAUUGUUUGUUUUUACUUAAUUUUAAAUGGAACUUAAAAUUAAAUAAUACUUAACAGUGUUAAGUAUUAAAUUAUUUAUUUUUUAAUAUUUUAGUUCUAUUAAGUAUUAUAAAUUAUAGAAAAACCAAUAAUUUACUUUUAACAUUUAGGAAAAGUUAAAUAUUUAGUCUUUUUUUAUUCAAUUAAAAAAUUUUCAAAAUAAGUAAUACGUUAACAAAAAAAAUAAAAAAAUAAAAUAUUUAAAAUCUGAAAACAAAUUAUUUAAAAAUAAAAAAUAAAAAACAAAAAAAGGAACAACAUAAUUAGCAAUUUGCUUCUUUUGCUUCAGUUGUAAUGCAUUUGAAUGAUCCAUCAUUGGAGGUAGGUGGAAUCUUUGGUGCCCGUCCUUUCCUCUCUUUUACCUUACCACUUGCUAUUAAUUUAUAGUUUUGAAGGUGCAUCAACUAGCCUCUUGGCUUCUUUACACAUGUUUAGCCCCUAACUUUAUAAAGAAUCCUAUGAUAUUUAAAAAAAAAAAAAAAAAAAUCUUCUAAUACCUUAAGUUGGAUCUAUUCUUAAAAACAAAAAAUUGUUUUUUAAAAAAGAAAAAUAUUUUCUAAAUUGAAAAUGUGUAACAAACUUUUAACAAUUUUUUUUUCUUUGAAUUUUUUUUUCAUAUUAUUUUAAGAACCAAAUUUUAGAUAUUUUUCGAUUGUUUAUUUAUAAACUGUUUGCAGACAUAAUUGAAAAUAUGGAUGAUUGCAUUACAUAUAAUUGCAGUAUAUCUUUAGGUAAAAUAAGCUAAAAAACUAUAAAAACUUGUUUUGAAAAACUAUUUUUUAACAACGUUUUGAAACAAAUCCUAAAAUGUUUUUAUUCUUUAUAAUUUAUUGAGUUGUUUGGUUGGUAGUUUGCUUUUGGUUCUUUUUAACCAUGAAAGGUUUAACUUUUAUGAUCAAUAGAGUUGAAUCUUGUUGCUUGUUUUCUAAGCAAGGAUAAAGAUAAAAGAAAAAAAGCAAUAAUAAAGACGGUAAAAUGAUAUUAAUUAUGAGGUUUUAUUAUUUUAAAAUUUGUGGAAAAUAUUUAAAGAGUAUUGACAAUUAUUUUUAAGAUUUAUUAUUAAAUUUUACAGUUAAAAAUAAAAAUAAUUUAUUAAACAUUAAAUGGUAACUAAAUAAUAUUUUAAUAAUAUAUUUUUAAAAACUAAGACUUGAAUUAUUUUUUCACAUAACUUAUUUAUUUAGAAUGUCAAAAAUAUAAGCUUUGAAAAACAUAAAUGUUUUAAUAACUAAUGAUGAAAAUAUUAGUGAACACAAAUUUAUGGUUACUUAGAUUUUACAAAUAUAUAAAAAAUAUAAAUAAAUAUUUUGAUAAAAAAAAUGGCAAAUUAUUAAAAAUUUAUUAAAAUAUCUAAAUUUAAAAAAAAAAUGAUAAAAUAAACAAAAAUAUAUAUAUUUUAUAAGUGUAACUAAUAUAUAUAUAUAUAUAUAUAUAUAUAUAUAUAUAUAUAUAUAUAUAUAUAUAUAUAUAUAAUCAAUAAUAAUCUUUAUCAAUUUUUUUUAAAAUAAAACAUUUAAACCAUCUGAAUUACUAAAAAGGAUUUCAAAAUAAUUCAUUUGUUUUCUUCCUUUGGAAAGUUAUUUGGAGAUAAUGAUGAAAUGGGUGUUGAAUUCAACGAACUUUAAGGCAUGUGCUGCUGUACGUACAAUCCUAAAAAAAAGACCAAUUUAAAAUUGAAGACCAAUCCGCUUCCAAAACUUGCGAGGGAUGUUGUGCUUUUUAAUUUUUAUAUUAGAAAUUUUAUUAUUCUUGUUUACGAACUUAGCGAGCAAGUUUCCACACCUGGGGAGUGAGGUCCUCUCACAAAAAUGUGUAGGACAUUAGGACGAGGGCCCUUUAGCCUUUAGGAGGCCCCCACCGGGGCCUAAAAGUCGGAUGAAUGAACCAUCCGCGUGGGUGCGAGUGGGGCCACUGCUAUUUUGGAGUCUUCCUCCAUUCUCUGUUUCCCAGGCUACUUUGAUUGCCUUCAAAUGCCAUUACGCCCUUGGCCUCAUUGGCUGGGCAAAUGGACCGGGGUGGCUCACGGUUUAUUUUUAUUUUUCAAUUUAAUUUCGUCUCAUUUUUUAAUUUCUUUUUUUAUAUUUGAUUAGAUGUAGAAUAACACUCACAUUUGAGAAAAUAAUUUUACACGUGUCAUCUCCUUUUUGAUAUUUGUACUUUUAGAUUUUUUAUUAUCAAAAAAAUAUUCCAUGUGAGAUAAAAAUUAAAAAUAUAAUUUAAGGAUAUUUUUGUUGAGAAAAAUAUUAUAUUUCUUUCUUUCGGAUUCGGGUUUUUAACGUCCGAACAGAGUAAAUAAUUCUUUGUUUUUAGUGCAAGGGUGGAAUCACCGGCAUGAAUGGAAUCGGAAGGCACGCGUUUGCGCGAUCCCACCAUUGAGGGAAAGGGGGAGAGACUUGCGGUUGACUAGAUCAAUGUACGAGUGCGAACGCUUCCACGCUUCCACGCCUACACACUCACUCACCAGUCACCACGUCAGAAAUAUCACCGAUAAAUUUAGCUGACGCGGCGACCAAUUAUUGGAUGAUGUGGCGUGGUCUUUCUGUUCCCCAUGUGAUCUCUUCCUGUGGAUAGAUGAAGCGGCAAACAAACUAGGAGGGACUAGGGAGGUGAACCUACAGGGUCAUUGCCACAUCACUUGCAUACGUCAGCAAAAGUAAUUUUAAAAAAGGGAGAAUUAUGUUUUGGGGUAGAUGGACCCUCAAAUUAACAAAAGGUCCAUGUAACUCUUCAAAUUGAGCCCAAGACCUAAUGAAAGUAUGGAAAUUGAGUUGAAGGAUAUCAUUCUUCAGUAUUUCCAAAAAUGCCCUUUGUUGAUUUUGAGAAAAAAAAAUAAUAUUUUUGAAAAAUACUUUUAUUUAAUUUAAUAUUUUUAAAAAAUACUUUUAUGUAAUUUAAUAUUUUUUAAAAUACUUUUAUUUAAUUUAAUAUUUUUAAAAAAUAAAUUUAUUUAAUUUAAUAUAAUAUUUUUUUUAAAAUAAAUUUAUUUAAUUUAAUAUUUAAAAAAAUUUUAAUUUAAUAUUUUUUUUAAAAUACUUUAAUUUAAUUUAAUAUUUUUGAAAAAAAAUUAUUUAAUUUAAUAUUUUUGAAAACUACUUUUAUUUAAUUUAGUAUUUUUUUUAAAAAAAAUUAUUGAAAAAAAAUUAUUUAACUUAAUUUUAUAAAAUAUUUUAUAUGUGUUCUUAAAGGAUAUAUUUUUCCGUUACUAUUUUAUAUCCUUCAACUCAAUUUAAAGAGUUAUAUGCAUCUUUUGUUAAUUUGGGUCCAUCUACCCAAAAGAUGAUUCUCCCUUUAAAAAAAGUGCCGCAAUGCAAGGAAUCUAUUCCUCCGUCUUCUAUACAUAGCUUUGCAAGCUACAAACUGGUCUGACAAGUGAGAAGGAGUAUGAUCGGAUGGCCCUUCGUGGUGGUUUGAGUUUAAUUCUUUGAGUGAAAAAAUCGCAUCUCAAGUUUCUUCAAUUUCUGGUUUCUUUUCUUCUGGGGUUUUUAUUUGAUUUCUACUCUCUAACUUUCUCUCUGCGACUCGCUGUUUCGGUUACUUGUCGGAGACAAAGAGGGAAAAUUCCUGGUAAUUUUUCUUUCUCGUUUCCGGCAGAUUUUCGCUAGAACGUAAAGGAAGCUAUGCUAUAAUAUCAUGUGGAUGUUUCAUACAUAUUCUUCUACCUUUUGUUAUUUGUUGUGCUCGACUCGCCAUUUUCUGUUUUGCAGAUCGUUUUAAAGCUUUGAUUUGGUUGAGAGGGUGAAUUUUGAUUAUAAUGUCCUGUUGUUUGCAUUUUUAAGGGUGGAAAUUCUUGUCAACUGUGGCCAUGUAUUUGUAUUAGGUUCAGUCGUGUCUUCCAACGUCUGAAACAAGAAAAAAAAUAAAAAUAGAAUCUGAGAUUCGAAAUUUUGAUUAUGGUUUAUUUUUUUGCAUUUUCUUUAGUGUUUUGAUCUAGUAAUGAGUAUCUUUUAUCCGGUGACUGACCUGUGCCACUUUCUUCUGGAUGGGCAUGGAGUUUCUUGUAUUAAUAUGGCUAUAUAACACCAUUUGACACUCUAUGUAUGGUUUUUAAUCCUCUGCAUAGUAAUUUAAGAAGGGCAUUAUGAAGAGAUGGAUCUUUGAGGAGAUUGUAUUGCUAAAGGUGUUAUGGUUCCUCCACAGUUUUGAGGAGCGUUUUAUAUAUAUAAAUAGGCAUAAUUACAUAUUCGUAUAGAUUUUCAGAUUUAUAUUUCUGUUCUCAUCUGGUCAUUAUCUUCUACAAUUUUUUGACUCUGAGCACUUCCAUUUCUUUAACAGUGGCUAGUGUGGAGAUUCAUAUUGACAUUACUUUCUUGAUACUGAAAUGUGGUAAUUACUAGAAUUCUAGUAAUAGAUCAACCAACUAUUUUUUGCGGUUGCUGGAUUAUAGGACUCUGCCUAUAGGAAUUGUAUUUAGAUGCUUGCCCUUCGUAGAUUAAGGAAACAUGGUUCUAUACUUUCAAGAAAUAAUAGAAACUUAAAUCUCACACGGAGCAUGCUUUCACAUACACAUUUGGACAGUAAUUUUUGUUUAAGUUCCAUAAAAUUGCUUAAAUUAAUUCCAAGGGUAUUAAUCACUAGGUACCUUAAAACGUUGUCAGGGUUCAUAUAUGGCCACAUGUCAUCCUAUUUAAAUUGAACUGAAAUGGAGGAGAGUGUCAAAUGAUUAAGAUAUGUAUGGCAAGGUUGGGUUCUCUCUCUACAUUUGUUCAUGUUGUCUAUUUUCUUUGCACAUGUUCCAUAUUGUCUAUUUUCUAGUGCUUGCUGUCCUAAUUUCUGAAGUUUGAAACCAUGUACAGGACAAGCAUACGAUAAAACAUUUCAUGAGUCUUGCAAUUUAAUCUAUAUUUUUCCUAUAGUAGUAUUAUUUAUUACCAAAACAGCUUAAAAUAUUUGAUAUCAUAAUUCAACAAUGCUUAAUCAUUGAACUUCAUGACAUUGCCAUGAAGAUUUCUCUAGCAAGCAAAGUAUUCAAAUUAUGAGUGUGAUGUUUUUUCUUAUUUAUAGCAUGCUAUGUAUUCAACAUGAAAUAUUCAUAUUUUUACAAUCUCUGAUUUUGGGUUAUACAAUGAAAUUGCAGUUAAACUCGGUCUUACUAGAUGAGUAAGACAAUUCAGGUGUAUGGAUUCCCUUCUAUUGUGUCUGCAGAUGAAAUUAAGGAAUUUCUGGAGAAAUAUACUGGUGAAGGAACUAUUGAGGCCUUAGAGAUUAAGCAGCCUAGAAGUGGAGCAUCAAUGACGCAUGCUAAAGUCCAGUUUACAUCCUUUGAACUUGCAGAGUUUAUUAUCACAUUAUGUAAAAAAAAAGUAUGGUAUGGGCGCAAUUAUUUGAAGGCUCGAGAAAUGGAUCUUGAUAUUAUUCCAAAGCCAAGGGCCUUUUUGCAUAGUAUGGAUCGGAUAACAUUACAUUUUGGCUGUCAGAUGUCAGAUGAACGAUUUUGUGUGCUCUGGAAAGCAAUAAAUGUUUCUGUCAAAUUUGGGUCUGGAUUGAGAAAAUUUUACUUUUUUCUUUCUCAUGGCUCUGAGGAGUACAAGCUUGAGCUUUCCUAUGAGAACAUUUGGCAAAUUCAACUACAGCAUCCACGUGGUCAAAUUACAAAAUUUCUCCUAAUUCAGGUUUGCUUGACAAAAUUUUGAUUGUUAAAUUUCUAUUAUUCGCUUUCACUUCGUACUUCUUUUUACCAUGGCUGUGUCCAUUACAAAUAUUGAAUAAUUUGCAUGUCUAGGUUGUAUUGUUACUUUUUCCUCUUUUGUGAACUCUUUAUGGUUUGCCCAUCUACAAGCAAAUUAAAUUGCAUUACCAAUUCAAUGUCUCUUCAAUUAUUUUCUUAGAAAGGUUAGAGCUCAGAGAUGAAAUCUUGCCAAAGUGGUUAACUUAGAUCAAUGGAUUAAUUGUUAUGUUUGUUGCUUGAUUUAUUACUUUUUGUGUUUUAAGAGACCUGAAAGGUGAAACAAGGUAAUUUUUGUGGAUGUUACAUACUUGGGAGAAGGCAAUGUAGCUUGGAUAUGGGAAAUGGACACUAUAACAUGAGAUGCAUACACUGAAGUGAUAAGUAAUAAGUUAAAAGUAAUUGAUAUCAUUGAAAAUCAAAUCUGAUAAAUGUUUGUUUUGUUAUCUCUGUUGCAUGUACUCUCCAAAUAAGGGUGGCUUUUUGAAUAAUCAAUUACCUCAUUUUGUACAUGCUUAAAUAACUGGCUUUUGAAUCUCAAAAUUUAUAAGAUGCCUGAUUUAUACGUUUCUCUAAAUGGGCAACAUGUUAAGGAUUUUACAAGAACUUUAGCUUUUUUGAAUAUAUUGUUUUGACUCCUGCUGUUUCCUAAAUAUACCAGGCUGCAUUCUAUCUACAUCCUAAGUAUGUCCAAGCUUUGAGAAAGUAAUUUUUAAUUAAUGGUACAUAUGGUGAGCAUCCAUAUGUAUCUGAUGAGCCUCCAUUUUAGUGUAUGUUGGCUACAAACAUGUCUUCCUUACAGAAGUGUCUAGAUUUAGAGGAGAGGUAUAGUGCUAUGGGAAAGAGCAAUCUGUAUUCCAUCCUUUUACAUUUGUAUUGGCAUCAUUGUUAUAUCAUUUUAAAGCAACCAUAGAUCCUGAUUGUACAUAAUCCUUCUAAAAUGGUUCUAAUGGUAAUCUAUGGAAGAUGAAUAAAUUAAAAAACAAAUCAAUAUAGAAAGAAUUGAUAAUUUAUACAAGUAGAAAUUUUAUUUAUGAUAUUCCGAAAUUUAGAAGGAUCAUUUUCUAAACUAAAAGGUACUAUACUCCUUCCAUAAUGUCAAAAUAGUACAAUACUUCAGUUUUACAUCUUUAUUCUUCAGUUAUUUGAAUGUGCCCAAACCUUGACUUUUAUGUCAAAAUUUGAAAAUACUGAAGCAUUGUCCAAUCUUAAUCCAGAUGAUCUUCCAAUUGAGUAUAAUAUUAGUCUUACUGUCAAAUUGGGUAUAGUAUUCGUUGUUCAAACCUCUCCUGUUUUCCCUGCAUCAAGAAGUAUGUCAAUUACCAUAUGGAGUAAAAAUAAUUUAUCAUAUCACAUCUUUAUCUUCCGUAUGAACUGGUAGUUUUUGGCUUUACAUUGAUAUAAGGAUUCCUUGGACUAAAUAUGCAUAUGGACUUUCACUGAUAUAUGUUCUUGGAGAGUGGUAGGUCUUGUGUAAUGCUGCGCGGCUUGACCUGUUUCUAUUAUAAGUUUGAAGUUUUGACAUCUUUUAUGAAUAUUUGUGUUAAAUGUUUGGUGUUAUAUGUCAACAGUCACUUGUAUUUUAGAGAAUUUGUGUUAAUGAUGCAUAAUGAGAAUUUGCGUUAAUGGUUCAAUUGCUUUAUUCGUGUGUUUACAUGUCCACCAUGUUACUAACAUGUUUUUCCUCUUUGGUUACUAGUUACUUGGUGCUCCACAGAUUUAUGAGAAAGAUGUACCUGUCCUCAGCUAUUAUUUUAAGGAAGCUCCUGAUGACCAGUGGGUCAGGGAAAUUGAUUUUACUCCAUCAUGCUUUAUUGGGCAAUCUUUUGCGUUAUGUUUGGAGCUUCCAUAUGGCAGUCAACUACCAAAUUUUCGUGAAAAUUUUGCUUAUUAUAAAGAAAAUGAUGGCAAAUUCAUUUUGGAGAGUGGCUCAAGUUAUUCUCACAAUUUGCAUCUAGUUCCCAUCUUGGGUCCACCUCAAGGAUCUAGCUUGCCAUUUCAAAUAUUGUUUAAGAUAAAUACUUUGGUUCAGAAUGGGUGUUUAUCAGGGCCUACUCUUGAUACCAGUUUUUUCCGGUUGGUUGAUCCAGAGAGGUUUCCUAUUUCUUUUAUAGAGCAUGCCCUUGAGAAACUGUAUCAUUUGAAAGAGUGCUGUUAUGAGCCUGUAAGGUGGCUUAGUGAGCAGUACAGAACCUACGUGAAGAAGCCAGUUGCUGGAUCUCCUGCUAUUUCCUUGGAUACUGGAUUGGUGUAUGUCCGGAGGGUUCAGAUUACCCCAUGUAAAGUAUACUUUUGUGGCCCAGAGGUUAAUGUCUCCAAUCGGGUUUUACGCAAUUAUCCUGAAGAUAUUGAUAACUUUCUCCGUGUUUCUUUUCUAGAUGAGAACUUGGAGAAAAUUCAUUCAACAGUUAUAUCUCCUCGUAUGUCAAAAGAAGGAAGGCGAACUGGAGUAUACAGAAGGAUACUAUCAAUUCUUCAAAAUGGCAUAGUUAUUGGUGAUAAGAAGUUCGAUUUUCUUGCCUUUUCAUCAAGUCAGUUGCGGGAUAAUUCUGCCUGGAUGUUUGCUUCAAGACCUGGGCUUACUGCUGCGGAAAUCAGAAGCUGGAUGGGUGAUUUUUCUCAGAUAAGAAAUGUAGCAAAAUAUGCUGCCAGACUGGGUCAGUCUUUCAGCUCGUCCAAGGAAACAUUGAAAGUUGCUAAGGAUGAAAUUGAAAAUAUUCCU